UGUCCCUGGCCUCGCUGGAGGAGGUCGCCGUCCUCGACGGGCGGGGCGGCGCUCCGGUGCUGCACGACGUGUCGUUCCGGGUCGACCCGGGUCAGC
rnacentral:tRNA from 1 species